GGUUGUAGGGUGAUCUGGCUGUGACGUCUGUCACCCCACUGAUCACCAGCGUUGAUUUGUCUGAUCGGACUGACUUGGCAGGUGUUCUCUUCCACCCUCACCACUCCACAUGUGUCCCUUCUAAAACUGUAUGCUCAGUCAAAGAGGAACACCUGGCACAAUGGAGGAGGACCAUUCUUUGGUCAAGAGUGUACAAGAAUAUAUAUAGCUACACUCUUUGGUCAAGAGUAUGCAUAGCUACACUGACCUGUGGGAACUUCACAGACAAACUCUCAAAAAUCACAAAUGAAAGCUAUUGGAACAUGUGCUAUAAAUAAGCUUAUUUU
ensembl:misc_RNA 7SK 7SK RNA